rnacentral:rRNA from 1 species
UACGGAGGGAGCUAGCGUUGUUCGGAAUUACUGGGCGUAAAGCGCACGUAGGCGGUUUUUUAAGUCAGAGGUGAAAGCCCGGGGCUCACCCCCGGAAUAGCCUUUGAAACUGGAAAACUUGAAUCUUGGAGAGGUCAGUGGAAUUCCGAGUGUAGAGGUGAAAUUCGUAGAUAUUCGGAAGAACACCAGUGGCGAAGGCGACUGACUGGACAAGUAUUGACGCUGAGGUGCGAAAGCGUGGGGAGCAAACAGG